rnacentral:rRNA from 1 species
GAUCAUGGCUCAGGACGAACGCUGGCGGCGUGCUUAACACAUGCAAGUCGAACGAAGCUUGAUUACGGAUUCUUCGGAUGAAGUAUGAUAUGACUGAGUGGCGGACGGGUGAGUAACGCGUGAGUAACCUGCCCUUCANAGGGGGAGUAGCGUUUGGAAACGAACGGUAAUACCGCAUAAUGUAUUUUGUACCGCCAUGAUCGAAAUACCAAAGAAUUUAUUCGCUGAAGGAAUGGACUCGCG